ACACCAGACCGAUAGAAAGAGAGAAAGAGACAGAGAGACAGAGAGAGUUCGUGAGACGGAGAAGAACAGUGAAGAACCAGAUCGAGAAGAGAAGAUAGAUGAGACGGAGAAGACACUAAUCGCGUUUGUGACACAGUGAAGAACAGGGGAUGAAUAUGUUGUAUGCACAAGCUGCUUGAAGAGAAUAUUUAGGAGAAAAGUUACCAGAUUGAAAGGCGAAGUACCAAAAGGAUUACCAGAUUGGAAA